UACAGAGGAGCCAAGCGUUGUCCGGAUUGACUGGGCGUAAAGCGCACGCAGGCGGUUGCGCGCGUGGGGGGUGAAAUCUGGCCGCUUAACGGCCAGGCGCCAUCCCAUACGGCGCGACUGGAGUGAUGCAGAGGUCGAUGGAAUUGCCGGUGUAGUGGUGAAAUGCGUAGAGAUCGGGAGGAACACCAGUGGCGAAGGCGGCCGGCUGGGGGUGACCUGACGCUGAGGCGCGAAAGCGUGGGGAGCGAACCGG
rnacentral:rRNA from 1 species